rnacentral:rRNA from 1 species
UGGGGAAUUGUUCGCAAUGGGCGCAAGCCUGACGACGCAACGCCGCGUGGAGGAUGAAGAUUUUCGGAUCGUAAACUCCUGUCGAAUGGGACGAACAGAUUGCGGGUUAACAGCCCGUAGUCCUGACGGUAACGUUAAAGGAAACCCCGGCUAACUCCGUGACAGCAGCCGCGGUAAUACGAAGGGUGCAAGCGUUACUCGGAAUUACUGGGCGUAAAGGGCAGGUAGGUGGUUUGGUAAGUCUGUUGUGAAAGCUCCUGGCUUAACUGGGAGAGGUCAAUAGAUACUGCCGGACUUGAGUAUAGGAGAGGUUACUGGAAUUCCCGGUGUAGCGGUGAAAUGCGCAGAGAUCGGGAGGAACACCAAUGGCGAAAGCAGGUAACUGGACUAUUACUGACGCUAAGCUGCGAAAGCUAGGGGAGCAAA